UCUUGGGCGGGGAGUGCCCGCGGCGGCUGAGAGCUUCGGGGCGGCCACUACAAAAUCGCCCUUCUCGGAUCCUCAGUGAUUAUUACCUGUGUAUUGCCGAUUCCCUCCAGUUUCUCGCCGCUCGGCUGAUACACCUGAAAUCGUUCGAGACGACGCCUGCGACUACAGUGCCUGAGAGUCCACUUUCUUUAUACUUUCACCAGCACUGGAUAGGGUAUGGCUCUCUUAUUCCACAGAAGUAAAUAAUUGCAUUUCUUCAGAUCAACUUGAAUCUAAACCUGAGCUCCCAUCCUGCCAUGCUGGAAUCAGAACUGGUGAAAUAAGAAAAGAUGAUCAGUGAAAGCAGAAGCUGAAAGACACAGAGAGAAGGCAGUAUUCAGACUUCAUGAGUAAGCAGAAGCAAUGAAUAAACAAGAGCUCUGAGCAAACAAAAGCCUCACGAGGUAGCAAAAAAGAUAUACAAAGUGACGAAGGAAGUGAUAGACCAUAACUAAGAGUAUCAAAUUCUCAGGAGAAAGUCAAUGGCCUGGGUCACGGGCCAACCCUGAAGCCAGAGGUACAGUCACCUCCUGUGUUACCGGAGGUGGGGGAAUAGUACUAGACAGGCAAAGACUACAGGUGUGCCCCAGCCAUGUAAAGUCAGGCUGGAAUCAGCUCUGUAAGAGCCAGCACUACAUUUGAGCCAAAA